rnacentral:piRNA from 1 species
UACCCUCAAGAGGACCUCAACAUAGCAU